UCCUUGGUGGUCCAGGGGCCAAGACUCUGCGCUCCCAAUGUAGGGGGCCCAGGGUUCGAUCCCUGGUCAGGGAA
rfam:Ovis aries breed Texel chromosome 14, whole genome shotgun sequence.